UGGUUGUAGCUCAGUGGUAGGUAGAGUGCUUGCCUAGCAUGUGUGAGGCCCUGGGUUCGAUUCUCAGCACCAG
rnacentral:tRNA from 1 species